rnacentral:rRNA from 1 species
CGGCGGACGGGUGAGUAACACGUGGACAUCUCGGCCCCCCGGCCCGGGAUAGCCCAGGGAAACCUGGAUUAAUACCGGAUGAGACGGACCCGCGAUGGCGGGACCCGGGAAAGGCGCUGCGGCGCCGCCGGGGGAUGAGUCUGCGUCCCAUUAGCUAGACGGCGGGGUAACGGCCCACCGUGGCGACGAUGGGUAGCCGGCCGUGAGAGGGUGGACGGCCACAUUGGAACUGAGACACGGUCCAGACUCCUACGGGAGGCAGCAGCUAAGAAUCUUCCGCAAGUGGGCGAAAGCCUGACGGAGCGACGCCCGCGUUGAACGAAGAAGGCCGUGAGGUUGUAAAGUUCUUUUCGGAGGGGGAACAACCGUGGCAGGGAAUGGCCGCGGGAUGACGUGAAUCCCGGAAUAAGCCCCGGCUAACUACGUGCCAGCAGCUGC